UUUCCGCCCCCAUAAGGUAGUAUCAUCAAGAAAAACCCACAUAAAAUGACGGUUGAGACUUCAUAGAGGAACUCGCUUCAUAAUCGACAAUCCCCGCUAUCUUUCACUUUCUCAAAAUCACUUUCCUAAGCCUAUAUACCGCCGUUUAAAGAAAUAAUUCAAAUCUUAGUUUCCAAAUCAGUACCCUAAAAAAAUCAGGUCAAGGUGUAGCCAACGAGAAAGAAGAAGUAAGUUACAAUAAACAAAAUUUAAGGAUCUAGGACCAAACCCCCUAAAGAAAGAGAAUCUAUUUACACAGCAAAGUUAAAACCUUUACUCGAAAUCAAGCAAUCUCAAUGU
rnacentral:rRNA from 1 species